UACGGGGGGGGCAAGCGUUGUUCGGAAUUACUGGGCGUAAAGGGCUCGUAGGCGGCCAACUAAGUCAGACGUGAAAUCCCUCGGCUUAACCGGGGAAUGGCGUCUGAUACUGGAUGGCUUGAAUCCGGGAGAGGGAUGCGGAAUUCCAGGUGUAGCGGUGAAAUGCGUAGAUAUCUGGAGGAACACCGGUGGCGAAGGCGGCAUCCUGGACCGGCAUUGACGCUGAGGAGCGAAAGCCAGGGGAGCAAACGGG
rnacentral:rRNA from 1 species